AUUGAACGCUGGCGGCAUGCCUUACACAUGCAAGUCGAACGGCAGCACGGGAGCAAUCCUGGUGGCGAGUGGCGAACGGGUGAGUAAAGUAUCGGAACGUGCCCAGUCGUGGGGGAUAACGUAGCGAAAGUUACGCUAAUACCGCAUACGAUCUAUGGAUGAAAGCGGGGGAUCGCAAGACCUCGCGCGAUUGGAGCGGCCGAUAUCAGAUUAGGUAGUUGGUGGGGUAAAGGCUCACCAAGCCGACGAUCUGUAGCUGGUCUGAGAGGACGACCAGCCAAACUGGGACUGAGACCCGGCCCAGACUCCUACGGGAGGCAGCAGUGGGGAAUUUUGGACAAUGGGCGAAAGCCUGAUCCAGCCAUGCCGCGUGCAGGAUGAAGGCCUUCGGGUUGUAAACUGCUUUUGUACGGAACGAAAAGGUUUGGCCUAAUAAGCUGAGCUCAUGACGGUACCGUAAGAAUAAGCACCGGCUAACUACGUGCCAGCCGCCGCGGUAA
rnacentral:rRNA from 1 species